ensembl:snoRNA small nucleolar RNA SNORA11
UGGGUGUACUCAGAGCAGGGGGCCUCAAGAGUGGCUUCUCUGUUUAUAACACACCCAAGAGGAAUCUGGGCUCAUUGUGACAAGGGGCACACAGCUCAUGGCCUUCCUAUGAACAACACCCACACAGGU